rnacentral:misc_RNA from 1 species
GGUCAGUCAAGAGCUGAUUAAGUGAAUGUUUUGCGCUUGGAAUUUGUGUAUUAUGUCUCUUUUUUCCUUUCUUUCUCUCAUGAAUUGUUUUUGUAGUUCUCUAAUUAGAAAUGGUCAUGACUAAGUUUUACUUUCUCAAAUAUUCUUGUGUUGUGUGAUUUCUGUACCACACGGAUUCUGUAUUCAUAAUCAAUUAUUCUCUCAAUAAACACAAAACAUUGUUUC